AUGCGUGCCGAUGCGACAGGCCUCUCUCCUGACGAGUGGCUGUCCCGGUACGACUUGGAAGACCAACUCUCCGUCAUCUACGCCAAUGAGGAGGCUUAUUGGCGCCUUCGUGGCGCCCAGAAAUGGGUGCUUAAGGGUGAUGCAAACACGACAUACUUUUAGGCCAUUGCGAAUGGCCGCCGUAGGUACAACACCAUCCCCCUCCUCUGGGAUGGUCCGACUCUCCUCCAGUCCCCCCGUGACAUCCGGGCCCAUGUUGAUGGGUUUUAUAGGUCCCUGUUCUCCGCUGCUCCUAGGAGCGGCCUUUCUUUGGCCCUUGAUUGCUGG
rnacentral:rRNA from 1 species